CCUACGGGAGGCUGCAGUGGGGAAUAUUGGACAAUGGGGGCAACCCUGAUCCAGCCAUGCCGCGUGUGUGAAGAAGGCCCUCGGGUUGUAAAGCACUUUCAGUGAGGAAGAACGCCUGGUGGUUAAUACCCAUCAGGAAAGACAUCACUCACAGAAGAAGCACCGGCUAACUCCGUGCCAGCAGCCGCGGUAAUACGGAGGGUGCGAGCGUUAAUCGGAAUUACUGGGCGUAAAGCGCGCGUAGGUGGCUUGAUAAGCCGGUUGUGAAAGCCCCGGGCUCAACCUGGGAACGGCAUCCGGAACUGUCAAGCUAGAGUGCAGGAGAGGAAGGUAGAAUUCCCGGUGGAGCGGUGAAAUGCGUAGAGAUCGGGAGGAAUACCAGUGGCGAAGGCGGCCUUCUGGACUGACACUGACACUGAGGUGCGAAAGCGUGGGUAGCAAACAGGAUUAGAUACCCGGGUAGUC
rnacentral:rRNA from 1 species